rnacentral:rRNA from 1 species
UACGGAGUGGGCUAGCGUUGCUCGGAAUUACUGGGCGUAAAGCGCACGCAGGCGGUUCGAUAAGUCGGAUGUGAAAGCCCCGGGCUCAACCUCGGAAUUGCAUUCGAUACUGUCGGUCUCGAGUCCGGGAGAGGUGAGUGGAAUUCCCAGUGUAGAGGUGAAAUGCGUAGAUAUUGGGAAGAACACCAGUGGCGAAGGCGGCCCACUGGCCCGAAACUGACGCUCAGGUGCGAAAGCGUGGGGAGCAAACAGG